rnacentral:lncRNA from 1 species
UUGAAGGCUGAAGAACCGUGUGGAGUGAAGCAGUUGGAGACGCCGUCGAUCGCGCCCGGGCGCCGGGAGCCGAACGGGAGAUCUGCCGGCGAGCUGCGGGAGCGGAUUUGGGGGGAGCUGACCGGGGGGGCGAGGUAAGGUGCGGGGCUAAUCUGUCAGGCCUUUGUGGUCGGACCGGAAACUGAAAGGCGAGAAANNNNNNNNNNNNAGGGGGGGGGCAAGGAAAGGUGCGGGGGUAAUCUGUCAGGCCUUUGUGGUCGGACCGGAAACUGAAAGGCGAGAAAGAAAUACGUGUACGUACGUACCCCGGGUCAGUACUCAGUACUCGCCAAUCGGAUGCCAGUGCGAUGACACGGCACGUCGGCGUCUUGGUGAUCCAGUAGAGGUCCAGGAUUCGACAAAUCCUUCAGCCUUCGGCGCAACGAAGAAUGGUGCGUUCCUGUUGAUAAGUAUCUGAAACAAGAACGACACCAAGGUGGCAGCAAGCCCCACAACUUAACAGUUCAGAUGUUGGUGAAUCAAAGACGAGGGGGAAAGAGAUUUAACCGGGGCAUGAAGCAGUUGGCAGCCUGUCCAGAUCGAUCCGAUGAGACGGCAGGCGUGCGUUUCAUCGCGNNNNNNNNNNGUUGGCCGCCUGUCCAGAUCGAUCCGAUGAGACGGCAGGCGUGCGUUUCAUCGC